rnacentral:rRNA from 1 species
GAUGAACGCUAGCGACAGGCCUAACACAUGCAAGUCGAGGGGCAGCACAUGCGUAGCAAUACAAUGGUGGCGACCGGCGCACGGGUGAGUAACACGUAUGCAACCUACCUGUAAGAGGGGAAUAACCCGGAGAAAUUCGGACUAACACCGCAUAAUACCUCGAAGCUGCAUGGCUUUGAGGUUAAAUAUUUAUAGCUUACAGAUGGGCAUGCGUAACAUUAGAUAGUUGGUGAGGUAACGGCUCACCAAGUCAACGAUGUUUAGGGGUUCUGAGAGGAAGGUCCCCCACACUGGUACUGAGACGCGGACCAGACUCCUACGGGAGGCAGCAGUGAGGAAUAUUGGUCAAUGGGCGAGAGCCUGAACCAGCCAAGUCGCGUGAAGGAAGAAGGUUCUAUGGAUUGUAAACUUCUUUUGUAAGGGAAUAAAAAAGCUUACGUGUGGGCUAUUGUAUGUACUUUACGAAUAAGGAUCGGCUAACUCCGUGCCAGCAGCCGCAGUAA